rnacentral:tRNA from 1 species
UCUAAAAUGGCAGAAAAAUGUAUAGGAUUUAAGCUCCUUUUAUGAAGUUUAUACUUCUUUUAGAA